rnacentral:lncRNA from 1 species
CUUUAUUUUUAUUUAGAAAUUGGAAAUAAUCGAAAUAUCGGUCAACAGGUAAAUAAAUAAACUGUGGUAUAUCCAUGCAAUACAAAAUGUGGAUUAUUGAUGUACACAAAAUGGGUGAAUGCCAAAAUAAUUAUGCUGAGUAGAAGCACCUCCCCCCACAGUACUUGCUCUGCGAUUCCACUCAGAUAAAAUUCUAGAAUAUAUAAAUUAACCUUUAGUGAGAGGGAGCAGACCAGUGGUUGCCUGAACAUGGAGGACACGAGGGACGGUUUAGACCGGGGUGUGAAACUGCUGUUGGUGGUGAUGGACAUGUUCUGGCGACAGCUUCACAGGCAAAUGCAUCGGUCACUUCACGUAUGUGCAGUUCAUUACCUGUCAGUUACACCUCAACAGAGCUGUUUUAAAAAGCAAGGUGGGGCCGGCUUUGGUGGCUCACACCUGUAAUCCCAGCACUUUGGGAGGCCAAGGAAGGAGGAUCGCUUGAGGCCAGGAGUUUAAGACCAGCCUGGGCAACACAGUGAGACACUGUUCCUAUUUUAAAUAACAAAACAAAACAAAAGUGGUACAAUAACAACUUUUAAAACUCAAAAAGAAACAAAGAAAGAGAUAAAAGAGAUUCAAGAGACAGUGGCAAACACUGAGAACAGCCAAUUUAGAUUUCAACAUACAGAUAACAGGGAUCCCCACAGAAAAAAGCCAAAGCAAGAAAAAUGUAACACUAAACUCCAGUUCAAGCAAAUCUUCUUAAAAUAACAGAUAUGAAGUACACAUAGAAAGAGCACACCAUACGCUUGCAAAUAUGGACCAGGACAACCAAUACCAACACAUGACACAUUCGAAUAAAACGGCCGACUUGACAGAAAAAGGAAAAAAUCCUUUGGGCAUCUAAGGAAAAACAGCAUAUGACUGUCAGGGGAAGAAAACAAGAUUCAUCAGGCUUUUCAUGCAUCACUUUACCAUGCCCAGCCCAUGAAUUCUUGUAUAUAUGUAAAAACCCUUCACCACUCACCUUCCUUGACAGACAACUAAUGCAUUAUCUUAAAAACUUAGUGUACAAGAGCAAAGAAUCAAGCAUUUAUCCUGCCCUUCCUAUAUGAACUGUACCACUGGGUAACCAGAUAAGUAUAAAAAAGAAAACACUUUCUUAGAAAACCAUUCCAGCUAAUAAAGGCAAGCAAAACGACAGAAUGAGAAUACCACCAUUUUGCAACCCCAAAUAAUUAAUGGAUCUUGGCACUGAGCAUCAGCUGCCGUCAACAUGGUACUUUCCUGAGGAAAGCUCCUAACCGCCUGUUCUCCUGCCAAAGGGAUCAAAUUUGAGGCUCAUCAAGCCUCUGGACCCAGCUGCCAAUGUGCAGGAAACAUAGAGGACCAUGCUGAACUACACCAUGACCACGUGGUCAGCAAAAUCUACACUGUGGGAAGCCAUGGGACAAACAGCCCAGGCUCUUCAACAGAUAAACGGCAGGGAAAACAGUGAGGCCGACGGGACUGCAAAUGGACACUGAAGUAGAUAAAAAAAUAAACAAAAAAAAGCAGACAAGACUAAACUGCCAUCAAAAAACCAAGAAAGUCAUUUCUGUAAAAGUCAGGAUUACUUGUUGGGGCAAGGAGGGGGAGAAGAAGAGGGCUGUGGCUGGAGGGGCACUUGGGAGAGCCUCCUGGGGUAUCUGGCAAAGUACUAUUUCUUCACCAGGUGGUGGACACAAAGGUUAUUCACCUUACAAUCAUAAUCAUUCAAUAAGCUAUACAUUUGUUUUGUGUCACUUCCUGUAUGUUUUUAUAAUAAAAAGGUUUAAAACUAAAUAAAUAAUCAUGUCAAACUUUUACUACUUUUUUUUUUUUUUGAGACAGAGUCUCACUCUGUUGCCCAGGAUGGAGUGCAGUGGUGCAAUCUUGGCUCACUGCAACCUCUGCCG